GACGAACGCUGGCGGCGUGCCUAAUACAUGCAAGUUGAGCGCUGAAGGUUGGUACUUGUCCCAACUGGAUGAGCAGCGAACGGGUGAGUAACGCGUGGGGAAUCUGCCUUUGAGCGGGGGACAACAUUUGGAAACGAAUGCUAAUACCGCAUAAAAACUUUAAACACAAGUUUUAAGUUUGAAAGAUGCAAUUGCAUCACUCAAAGAUGAUCCCGCGUUGUAUUAGCUAGUUGGUGAGGUAAAGGCUCACCAAGGCGAUGAUGCAUAGCCGACCUGAGAGGGUGAUCGGCCACAUUGGGACUGAGACACGGCCCAAACUCCUACGGGAGGAAGCAGUAGCGAAUCUUCGGCAAUGGACGAAAGUCUGACCGAGCAACGCCGCGUGAGUGAAGAAGGUGUUCGGAUCGUAAAACUCUGUUGGUAGAGAAGAACGUUGGUGAGAGUGGAAAGCUCAUCAAGUGACGGUAACUACCCAGAAAGGGACGGCUAACUACGUG
rnacentral:rRNA from 1 species